ACUCCUACGGGAGGCAGCAGUGGGGAAUAUUGCACAAUGGGUAGGCAACCGUGAUGCAGCCAUGCCGCGUGAUGUAGCAAGAAUGGGCCUUUCGGGUUGAUAAAGCACUUUUCAGCGAGGAGGAAAGGGUGUAAGUUAAUACCUUACAUCUGUGACGUUACUCGCAGAAGAAGCACCGGCUAACUCCGUGCCAGCAGCCGCGGUAAUACGGAGGGUGCGAGCGUUAAUCGGAAUUACUGGGCGUAAAGCGUGCGCAGGCGGUUUGUUAAGCGAGAUGUGAAAGCCCCGGGCUCAACCUGGGAACCGCAUUUCGAACUGGCAAACUAGAGUCUUGUAGAGGGGGGUAGAAUUCCAGGUGUAGCGGUGAAAUGCGUAGAGAUCUGGAGGAAUACCGGUGGCGAAGGCGGCCCCCCUGGACAAAGACUGACGCUCAGGCACGAAAGCGUGGGGAGCAAACAGGAUUAGAUACCCUGGUAGGAUAG
rnacentral:rRNA from 1 species